GACGAACGCUGGCGGCGUGCCUAAUACAUGCAAGUAGAACGCUGAAGGAGGAGCUUGCUUCUCCGGAUGAGUUGCGAACGGGUGAGUAACGCGUAGGUAACCUGCCUGGUAGCGGGGGAUAACUAUUGGAAACGAUAGCUAAUACCGCAUAACAGUAGAUAUUGCAUGAUAUCUGCUUGAAAGGUGCAAUUGCAUCACUACCAGAUGGACCUGCGUUGUAUUAGCUAGUUGGUGAGGUAACGGCUCACCAAGGCGACGAUACAUAGCCGACCUGAGAGGGUGAUCGGCCACACUGGGACUGAGACACGGCCCAGACUCCUACGGGAGGCAGCAGUAGGGAAUCUUCGGCAAUGGACGGAAGUCUGACCGAGCAACGCCGCGUGAGUGAAGAAGGUUUUCGGAUCGUAAAGCUCUGUUGUAAGAGAAGAACGAGUGUGAGAGUGGAAAGUUCACACUGUGACGGUAUCUUACCAGAAAGGGACAGCUAACUACGUGCCAGCAGCCGCGGUAAUACGUAGGUCCCGAGCGUUGUCCGGAUUUAUUGGGCGUAAAGCGAGCGCAGGCGGUUAGAUAAGUCUGAAGUUAAAGGCUGUGGCUUAACCAUAGUACGCUUUGGAAACUGUUUAACUUGAGUGCAAGAGGGGAGAGUGGAAUUCCAUGUGUAGCGGUGAAAUGCGUAGAUAUAUGGAGGAACACCGGUGGCGAAAGCGGCUCUCUGGCUUGUAACUGACGCUGAGGCUCGAAAGCGUGGGGAGCAAACAGG
rnacentral:rRNA from 1 species